AGAGCAGCGGACUGUUAAUCCGCCUGUCGCUGGUUCGAGCCCGGCCCGGGGAGCCA
rnacentral:tRNA from 1 species